UUUACUUAGUUUAAAUUUUUAUGUCAAUAUUCAGUCCAAGAGUCCCAGAUAAAAUGACCUUUGACCGAAUUUCUAUAUUAAAAUAAUUAGGAGUUUUUUUUUAUUUUAGUUUUCUAAUUAGAUUAGGACUAGUUAUAAGGCCUAUUUAAAGGCAUGGCUGUCCACCUUGUUAAACACUUAUCAUUAUUAUUAAAAUUUCAGAUUUGUUGAGAGCAGAAUUUUCUUUGAGUUUUCUCCAAGAUUUUUCUCUUGAGUUUUCUUUAGAAGUUGUUUUAACAAUCUUGUGAUUGUGGGAGCCAUCUUCAACCUUCUUCUUGC
rnacentral:lncRNA from 1 species